ensembl:lncRNA
ACAAUUCACAGCCCACCCGGCCCUUCAAGUGCUGGGACAAGAGCCUCUCGUGUGUCCAUGGCAAGGCCAGUCAUUUCAUUUCUCUCUCGCUCUGCACAUGUUGUUCCUCAGCGCACAUUCGCUUCCUGAUUAUGAGAGGACCCUGAAAACCACUAAGAGCUAUUUAAGUCCCCUUCAGAGAAAAUAGUCCAUAAGGAGAAAUUUGUUUAUAUUUGCUGGUAACUGCAUGAUAAUAUAAGAUAAUGACUUGUAAUAUUACACCAGCAUCACAAAAAAAAAAAAGGAAAAAGAGAGAUGUAAUGUUGUCUUCAAGUGGACUGAGAAAGAUUGCAAUUACAGUAUGAGCACAAGAACAUUAAUGACUAAGCAAAGUCAUACUUACGUGUAGGAAGCUUUGAGUUUUCAGAUGACUCAUGAGAAGACACGUCAUGACUUCAGAAAACAAGUCUGGGGUGAAUAUAAAAUAAUGGUUUUGCAAGUUAUUUUCAUUUUGCUCACUGUAUUUUCAUUAUUUUAAAGGUGUGACUCAAAAAAGUUUCCAUACGGCAAAAAAAAAAAAAAUGAAUCCGUCAUUAUCUGGCCUAAACCCAUUUAAAGCCUUGUGUUUUAGAAAUGUGACAAAGUAAAAGAGAAACAGAUGGUUUCUAAAAGCAAUAAGCCAUUUUACACAGUUACAACGGUUAGCUGUGAAAGUAUGUCCCCUUCUCAUUUACUCUGAUUUAAAUAUAGCCUUAUGUUGGCCUCUUUUUAAAAUUUUCAUUUUCCCUUUAUUCAGUUUUUAAAGCUUGAGUCACACCUCACACACUGUCCUCGUUGGUGUAAAUAUCUACUGAUUUACAUCAGUUUGAGCCAAAAUACCAAAUAGUUUGAUUCCAUGUGUGGCCUUUGACUUCAAACAAUAUAUUUUGCAUUUCCUCCUACUGUCAAAUUUCACUAUGGUGCGGGAGCGAGGAACGAGGAGUACAUCAACACAGGAGAUUUUAAUGUCUUUAAGGGAACCAGGAAAAACACACGUAGCAGGAGAGGUUGACAUCCACAGACAUUUACAAUACUGGACGACCAGCCUUAGAACAGGGCUCACUAUAAAAUACACAGGACUAAAGGAUCGGAUGAUGAGACACACCUGGAACUAAUGAAACAAACAUAAUUAGAACAGGAAGAGCCAAAUAAGGGCAUGGAAACACAUGGGGAGCAAAACACAGAAGUCUGACAUCACCCAUUACCAUAGGCCUGGAGGCUGGUGCAGGACUGGGACACGGGGAAUACUUCCAGUGCGGAUCAGGCAGUCCAGGAGGCCAUGGCAGAGCAUACAGUCCAGGAGGCCAUGGCGGAACAGGGAGCUUAGGGAGCCAUGGCAGAUCAGAGAGUUCAGCCACUCGCCCCGGGCACUACAGCUGGGAACUCAGGACGCCAUGGCCUUGGCCUCGCCACUCAGCCUGGCCACUACGGACAGACCCAUACUACCCAUCCCCCCCCAAGAAAAAAAUCCUUGGUGAGAGUAUCAUCUUUAGAGGCCCUCUGUAGGCCCAACUUGGGAUAAAUGGCCCUCCCUUGGCUUGACUUGGAGACUGGAGCCCUCCUUGGGCUCGACAUGGAAACUGCAGUCCUUUCUGUGCUACACUCGGGGACAGGGGCCCUCUCUGGGCUAAAUUCUGGGACAGGAGCCCUCUCUGGGCUAAACUCGGGGACAGGAGCCCUCCUUGGGCUGGAUUUGGGGGCUGGAGCCCACACUGGAGUGAGGCCUGGGGCUGGAGCCGACACUGGAGCUCUCCAGACACCGGAUGACCACCUCCUUCCAGUCGAGGCUGGUGGUGUCUGGGAGUUCCACAGGGCGAUGGUAUGUGAUCCCGAGCUGUAACAGCAUCACCAGAGUCUCCCAAUGAAGGGAGCUGGCGAGGGCAAGCGGCACGAAUGCCCUCCCGUAGGUGAUUGGGUCAUGGCUAGCCUGAGCCACGGCGAUGAACAUCGCUCAUUCCUCCAUUAUAGUGAGGAGAAACAAACAGGAAAACAAAACACUUUUAAAAAAUUAAAAACAAACACGGGGAGAAGGGCCGCUGCUUACUGUCAUGGUCCGGUAUUCUUUAAAAAAAAAAACACAGAUAGCAGGAGAGGUUGACACAUCCACAGACAUUCACA